rnacentral:lncRNA from 1 species
CAUGUUCUCACUUAUAGUGGGAGCUAAACGAUGAGAGCAUACGGACACACAGAGGGAAACAUUAGGGUGGAGGAUAGGAGGAGAGAGAAGAACGGGAAAAAUAACAAAUGGGCAUUAGGCUUAAUACCUGGAUGAUGAAACAAUCUGUACAACAAACCUCCAUGACACAAGUUUACCUGUGUACCAAACUGAUAUGGAAGUGCUGGGAAGGGAAGAGCGUGGUCCCUUUAAAUGAUAGGGAAGGGGAGAAGGGAAGUGCUGGGUAGAGGAGGGCAUGGUCCCUGGCUAGGGCUCCACCCCCACGGACCUAGGUAAGGACAGGCACUUCUGCUUUCAUGCCGAAAUGUAGCAUUUUCCAAGACCACCCUGGCCUGCCGUGCCCCCAUCAUGGGCCUAUAAAAACCAGAGACCUUAGCAAGGCAGGGACGCAAGCAGCUGGACAUCAUAAGGAACACAUCAGCAGAAGAAGACACAAGCAGCUGGUCAUCGAAAGCACACUGGCGGAAGAGCAGGCCAACAGACACCUGCAGGCCAUCAGGCCAUCGAUGGAGUCUCGCUCUGUCGCCCAGGCUGGAGUGCGGUGGCGCGAUCUCCGCUCACUGCAAGCUCCGCCUCCCGGGUUGACGCCAUUCUCCUGCCUCAGCUUCCCGAGUACUGGGACUACAGGCGCCUGCCACCACGCCCAGAGAUGGGGUUUCACCGUGUUAGCCAGGAUGGUCUCCAUCUCCUGACCUCGUGAUCUGUCCGCCUUGGCCUCCCAAAGUGCUGGGAUUACAGGCCACAACCCCCCCACUGCCCCUUCCUCCCCCUUCACAUUGCUCCAUGUGAUGGUUAAUAUUGAGUGUCAACUUGAUUGGAAUGAAGGGUGCGAAGUGUUGUUCCUGGAUGUAUCUGUGAGGAUGUUGCCAAAGAAGACUGACAUUUGAAUCAGUGGACUAGAAGAGGCAGACCCACCCUCAAUCUGGGUGGGCACCAUCUAAUCAGCUGCCAGCACAGCUAAAAUAAAGCAGGCAGGAGAAUGUGGAAGGACUAGACUGGCUGAGUGUUCUGGCCUUCAUCUUUCUCCCAUGCUGUAUGCUUCCUGGCUUUGAACACUGGACUCCAAGUUCUUCGGCUUUUGGACUUUUGGACUUACACCAGUGGUUUGCCAGGGGCUCUUGGGCCUUCAGCCACAGACUGAAGGCUGCACUGUCGGCUUCCCUAUUUUUGAGAUUUGGGAACUCAGACUGGCUUCCUUGCUCCUCAGCUUGCAGAUGGCCUAUUUUGGGACUUCACCUUGUGACAGUAUAUACUCCUUAAUAAACUCCCUUUCACAUAUAAAUUUAUCCUAUUAGUCCUGUCCCACUAGAGAACCCUAAUACACCCCACCUUUCCAGACCUAACCAGUGUAUGUCUUACAUGUACUGAUUCAUGUCUUAUACCUCCAUAAAACAUGGAAAUUCAAGCUGUAGCCAGACCACCUUGGGCAAAUGUUCUCAGGACCUCCUAAGGCUAUGUCAUGGGUAUGUCCUUAACCUUGGCUAAAUAAACUUCUGAAUUGAUUGAGA